CCAGGGUGGCACCAGUAGGGAAUCUUCGGCAAUGGACGAAAGUCUGACCGAGCAACGCCGCGUGAGUGAAGAAGGUUUUCGGAUCGUAAAACUCUGUUGUUAGAGAAGAACAAGUAGGAGAGUAACUGCUCUUACCUUGACGGUAUCUAACCAGAAAGCCACGGCUAACUACGUGCCAGCAGCCGCGGUAAUACGUAGGUGGCAAGCGUUGUCCGGAUUUAUUGGGCGUAAAGCGAGCGCAGGCGGUCUUUUAAGUCUGAUGUGAAAGCCCUCGACUCAACCGAGGAAGGUCAUUGGAAACUGGAGGACUUGAGUGCAGAAGAGGAGAGUGGAAUUCCAUGUGUAGCGGUGAAAUGCGUAGAUAUAUGGAGGAACACCAGUGGCGAAGGCGACUCUCUGGUCUGUAACUGACGCUGAGGCUCGAAAGCGUGGGGAGCAAACAGGAUUAGAUACCCCAGUAGUC
rnacentral:rRNA from 1 species